rnacentral:lncRNA from 1 species
CUACUCUGGAUUGGUUGGAAGAGCUGAUGAAGCUUCAACACUUGAGGAUACCUUAUCUGCUGCAGUUUCUAUCUUCAAACAUGUGUUCUUAUACAGUCGAAAGAAUAAGCUCUUCUUAUCCUUCUCUUCAAUAGAACUAGAGUGUUCCUUGUGUUUCUUUUUUCCAUAGCUUUGAUUUCUUCAAAGCAGCUAGCUUCGCAUCAUCAAUGUCUUGAGUUUUUUUUUAACUCACUCACAUCGUCAUCACUUGACUCAUCAAAGGAUACAUCUCUAGGGCAGGAUGCACUAGCGCCACUGACAUGUAUCUUAUCAAACAAUAUAUGCAGAUCAU